GUCUUUUCAGUCUUUUAUAUGAAAGUGUAAGUGAGUGAAGUGACUUUUAGUUAACUAGUACGUGUUCUCUGUGCAGCUGCAGUCUGCUUGUGUCCACUUCAUAGCAGCCAAACACACCACUCCCUUCACACGCUACGUGGAGCACAUCAACUACCGGCUGGCCUCCUGUCACUUCUUCUCCUGCUGUCACCUUUCCGUAGCUUUUCACUCCCAACUAAAGUGCUGACUCAGGCCAUGUCCAUCUCUGAGACCUGGUAUGCCGUUAAAGACCACGGCACCAACUACUGCAACAUCUACGAGCUCAUCCAAGGAAACUAACCCCCGGAACUCCUACGGCAUGAAACCAUUUCAGAAUAAAAGCUUGUACAAAAUAAAAG
ensembl:lncRNA